AACGAACGCUGGCGGCAUGCCUAACACAUGCAAGUCGAACGAGACCUUCGGGUCUAGUGGCGCACGGGUGCGUAACGCGUGGGAACCUGCCCUUAGGUUCGGAAUAACUCCCCGAAAGGGGUGCUAAUACCGGAUAAUGUCUUCGGACCAAAGAUUUAUCGCCUUUGGAUGGGCCCGCGUUGGAUUAGCUAGUUGGUAGGGUAAAAGCCUACCAAGGCGACGAUCCAUAGCUGGUCUGAGAGGAUGAUCAGCCACACUGGGACUGAGACACGGCCCAGACUCCUACGGGAAGCAGCAGUGGGGAAUAUUGGACAAUGGGCGAAAGACUGAUCCAGCAAUGCCGCGUGAGUGAUGAAGGACUUAGGGUUGUAAAGCUCUUUUACCCGGGAUAAUAAUGACAGUACCGGGAGAAUAAGCGCCGGCUAACUCCGUG
rnacentral:rRNA from 1 species